UUUGUCAUGAGCAUGCAUGCAGCCAACUAAUAAUGAUUGCAUGUCUCUGCAUUGCAUUGCAAUAGCAUUGUGCACAUGUAUAUAAAUACUGCAUGACAGAAUGCGAGUUGGUAAGUUAUUAUGACACAAACGCGUCAUAAUCAUCAUUUCCUGUUCAUUGUUGUGUUUAGAUGCAUGCAUAAAAGCAACAAUCCUACUGCCUUUAUGUUAUAGCAAGAGAUAACAAAACAAGAGAAUUAAAGCUGAGAGAGCUCACAUCUUCUGCAAAAACUACCAAGUCUUUCUUCAUUGGCCCUAAAUUUAAAGAAUAACUCAACAGAAAGAGAAUGGACUCGUAUAUACAAGCCACAUCAUGUGAUAGACACAGUCAGUCCUGGACAAAACUGAAAAACUUGAUAAUUCUGUGUUUUCUGCUCAUUUGCACAAACAACUGCUGCGGACAGAAUACCACUACUGACUCCAUAACAGAACCCAUCUCAACCACCCAACAACCCACCGCCAGCUCGAGUGUUUCGUCGUCCAGCCCAAUGGCUGCAUCGCUACCCAGCUCAACCACCCAACAACCUAUCGCCAGCUCAAGUGUUUCGUCGUCCAGCCCAACGGCUGCAUCGCUACCCAGCUCAACGCCGCCCCAGUCCUCAAGCAUAGAAGACGCAAACCGGUGCAAAAAAAGGAGGGGCAAAAUCACAGUCUCCCACGAAGGAUGUAAUGAUAAAGAAAUCCUAGUUCCAAUGUGCGGUGGUUUCUGUCGAAGUGAGACACUUGUCAAAGCAGAGGCACCCUAUACGAUAUCUAACUGUCGUUGCUGCACCUCGCGAAGCCACAGGAUUGGUUUCAAAAAAGUGAUGUUCACUUGUCAAAAUGGGCAACUUGAAACUCACAAGGUGUGGAUCGCAAAAGAUAUAGAAUGUGCUUGCCAGCUUUGCACACGGGUAAUUGGCAACAAUAAAUGAUAUAUAAUAAAUUGUGACGGAUAAAGUGAACCCAAUCUAUCUCCCACAAUUGUUCACAUUAUUUAUGGCAUAUACAUUUUUAUUUGGUGUCUAAGAGACGCUACAUUGUCAUGUCCUUAUAAUUAUGGACACUAAUUUCAAUUUUUUGAACCUGUUAUUACUUAUCUAUCACCAGCAGGCUAUUUGUGUCGUUUCUCUAGGCAUAGUUAUACACAUUGUGCAAUCAUUACCAUCUCCGUUUGUGCAGGGCACAACUCAUUCAAUUUGUUAGUACAUGUACAUGUUUAAUGAUUUUAUGAAACUCGUGCAAAACGUCA